CUAGAAGUUGGAACUGCUGCUGGCCGCUUCUGGGACACAGCGCAGUGUCAGAACAGACCGAGACUCUGGAAGCAAUCUAUCAUCGUUUGGAUAGAGCAAAUGGCGUCUGAUCGAGUGUGUGACUUUAAGAGACAGUUGUCCAGGAGUAUGAAUGCAGAGGGACUAGACAGUUGCCUGCGAGUCCUUCACAGUGUGCAGUACCCUCACUGGUUUUCGCUGCAAACAAUUUUUCUCACUCGAAGGGGAGAUCUUCGACUAUAUUUUGUAUUUCCCAUGGGAAUGCUGAGGAAUUAA